rnacentral:sRNA from 1 species
GCUAACCAGGUGCCUGGGGUCUGGAGACCUUACUGCUUGGGAAGUGAAUUAAGAGAAAAGACUGCUUGCUUCCCUCCAGACUUUGAGCCCUGGCCUGAUGUAGACCUUUUUGCUCUCCUUCGUAUAGGUACGGUUCCUGGAGCAGCAGAACAAGAUGCUGGAGACCAAGUGGAGCCUCCUGCAGCAGCAGAAGACGGCUCGGAGCAACAUGGACAACAUGUUCGAGAGCUACAUCAACAACCUUAGGCGGCAGCUGGAGACUCUGGGCCAGGAGAAGCUGAAGCUGGAGGCAGAGCUUGGCAACAUGCAGGGGCUGGUGGAGGACUUCAAGAACAAGUAUGAGGACGAGAUCAAUAAGCGUACAGAGAUGGAGAAUGAAUUUGUCCUCAUCAAGAAGGAUGUGGAUGAAGCUUACAUGAACAAGGUAGAGCUGGAGUCUCGCCUGGAAGGGCUGACUGACGAGAUCAACUUCCUCAGGCAGCUGUAUGAAGAGGAGAUCCGGGAGCUGCAGUCCCAGAUCUCAGACACAUCUGUGGUGCUGUCCAUGGACAACAGCCGCUCCCUGGACAUGGACAGCAUCAUUGCUGAGGUCAAGGCACAGUACGAGGAUAUUGCCAACCGCAGCCGGGCUGAGGCUGAGAGCAUGUACCAGAUCAAGUAUGAGGAGCUGCAGAGCCUGGCUGGGAAGCAUGGGGAUGACCUGCGGCGCACAAAGACUGAGAUCUCUGAGAUGAACCGGAACAUCAGCCGGCUCCAGGCUGAGAU